rnacentral:rRNA from 1 species
GCAACCUCAGGUGAGGUCGGAUUACCCGCUGAGUUUAAGCAUA